AAGUCGUAACAAGGUUUCCGUAGGUGAACCUGCGGAAGGAUCAUUAAAAAAUCUUUCGAGCCGCAAGGCUCUAUUAUCUUGUGAAGCGUACAUGGGAUGGCUCUUGCGCAUAGGUGGACGAUGUAGCAGAUGAUAUGAGAUGGGUGCCUAGGCGCCCUUUCGUUCAUUGGCGCAUCCUCCCCUGAGCACACAGACUUUCCCAGUUUUUAUUAAACAUAUGUUUUUGAUGCAGAGGAGAAUGUAUAUUUAAGUAAUACUUAUACAACUUUCAACAACGGAUCUCUUGGCUCUC
rnacentral:misc_RNA from 1 species